rnacentral:rRNA from 1 species
UGCAAAGGUAGCAUAAUCACUUGUCUUUUAAUUGGAGGCUGGAAUGAAGGAGGCGACGAAAUUUAGGCUAUUGGUUUAUAAUAUAAAAUUAACAUAAAGGUUAAAAGGCCUUUAUAAAUCAAAGGGACGAGAAGACCCUAUAAAACUUUACUAUAAAUUAAAUUACUUAGGUGAGAUUUGUACUUAUAUAGUUUAGCUGGGGCGGUUUAUAUAAAAACAAUUGUAGAAGAAAUAUAUUGAAUAAGAUUUGAGAACUUUAAGAGGAAAUAAACAAGUUACUUUAGGGAUAACAGCAUAAUUCUCCCAGAGAGUCCUAAUUGGCGGGAGAGCUUAUGACCUCGAUGUUGAAUUGGGGCGUCUAAUACAAGCAGAAAUGUAUUAAGAUAGUCUGUUCGACUAUUAAAUUCCC